GACGAACCGAGCGAACGUUGUUCGGAAUCACUGGGCUUAAAGGGCGCGUAGGCGGGCCGUCUAGUCCGUGGUGAAAUCCUCCAGCUCAACUGGAGAAGUGCCUCGGAUACUGGCGGCCUCGAGGGGGGUAGGGGCGUGCGGAACUUCCGGUGGAGCGGUGAAAUGCGUAGAUAUCGGAAGGAACACCGGUGGCGAAAGCGGCGCGCUGGACCCCUUCUGACGCUGAGGCGCGAAAGCGUGGGGAGCAAACAGG
rnacentral:rRNA from 1 species